rnacentral:rRNA from 1 species
GUGCCAGCCGCCGCGGUAAUACGUAGGGGGCAAGCGUUGUCCGGAUUUAUUGGGCGUAAAGCGCACGCAGGCGGUCUUUCGCGUUUUGAGUGACAGGUGGUGGCUUAACUGCCACAGGCCUCGAAAUACGGGAAGACUUGAGGGCUUCAGAGGGACGCGGAAUUCCAGGUGGAGCGGUGAAAUGCGUAGAGAUCUGGAAGAACACCAAUGGCGAAGGCAGCGUCCUGGGAAGCAACUGACGCUCAGGUGCGAAAGCCAGGGGAGCGAACGGGAUUAGAUACCCCUGUAGUCC